rnacentral:pre_miRNA from 1 species
GCAGCAAAUGAGCGGGCGCGCUCCUAACCCUAGUUGCAGGUACAAGCUUUCGCCUCGCAAGAUAAAGUGUACUUGGUGCUUGGGUUGUUCAAUUUGGGGCG